rnacentral:lncRNA from 1 species
CGAUUUUCAUGUAUCUUGUCUUCAAAACGUUAAUGUAAAAAUUUAACGUACAAAUAAAUGUUGUGACAUUUAAAAAUCAAUAAAUGAGACAAGUGCCAGUGCUUAUCGUAGGAAAUGGGCGGUCAUUAUUCACUUAAUCGAUGAAUAUUCAUGAGAUUCUCACAUGUACACAAAUAUAUUAAUAACAGACGACAAUAACAAAUAUGGCGGCCUCCGGCAGGCCGAGUGUAUGGGAUGUUUAGGAACAAAUUGUGUCUGGACCAGCCCUUCAAAAUAUAUCAGACGACGAAAGUAUUGAAGGUGAGGAUAACGGGAAUGUAUCUGAUAUAGAUGAACCGUUGGUUAGCGAGGAGGAAGAUGAUACUGAUGAUGAAAUCGUGUAGGAUCAGGAGGAUGGAAAUGAUGAUACUGACAUGCUGACAUGAAUGAGAUAAUAUGGAGCGAGGCCAAUCAAGAUAUAAAUGUUCGACAGUUUAACGAACGUACAGGACCUCAAGUAUUAUUGAAUGCUGAUGUUAGUGAACUGGCACAGACGUCACAUGAUUGGUAAACAUGCCCAAGAGACCAACCUAAAUGCAGCACGCAAACAGCAGCUAGCCGGACGAAAUGACACAAACUGGACGGAGACAGAUUUUGCUGAAAUGUCUGCAUAUUAAGGUAAGUAAAAACAAUAUCUGUACAAACUAACAAUGGUUAUACGUGUACGAUUUAUUGUAAGCUUGGUUGAUAGUAAGAAAAUUAAAUUGAAAUGCAUAGUAAAUUCCCUUUAUUAAACUCAUAUACAUGUGUAUAUACAUGUACAUGUGAUGUAUGCAUUUUUAUGCACUGUUUAUGUACAGGCCUGUUAUUCAGUGGUUGUCGUUUGUUGAUGCGGCUCAUAGGUGUUUCUCCUUUCUCAUGUUGUAGAUAAGACUUUUGUUUUUUACAUUUUUGGUUCCUUUAAAUAGCUUGCUGUUUGGUGUACAAAAUGUAAGCCUUGGCUCUAUGUUGAAGGCUGUAUGUUGACCUAUAUUUUUUUUUUAUUCAUUGUGACUUGGAUUGAGAGUUGUGUCAUUGGCAAUCAAACCACAUGCUUUUAUUUAAAAUAUUUAUUGGUUUGUACAUGCCUUUAUACAUGUCUGAUAUUUUAAAAUUGUGUUUUCACUUUACAUGUAUUUUUAUAAUUCUCAAAAGUAGAAGUAGGUUUAUCACAGAAAUUUUACAUGUCAAGAUAUGUAUGCACAGCCUAUAUCCACAUGUACAUGAUGUAUAUUUAAAAGUGAUAUUAAAAGUAACAUUUUUAUGACAAAAAGUAAAAAGUGUAUAUUUUAUCUUUUCUAGGAAUCCUAAUUCUAAUAGGGAUUAUACAAGUUCUGGACUACAAGUUGUUAUGGUCGACAAAUAAAUUCCUUGCAAAUGGAGGUGUAAAAGAGGUCAUGCCUGUAAAAAGAUAUGAAAAGCUGACACAGUAUUUACAUGUGAAUGAGCCAGAGGUGGAUUCUACUGACAAACUUGCCAGAAUUAGGCCUCUAUUAGACUCUGUUCUUGAAAGAUGUCGAGUAGCUAAUAAACGUUUACUCUUCCUUAUAAUCCAUGUCAUGAUGAUGUAUGCGUGACUGGACAUUAAGCAGCAAACAAUCAAUCAACUAUGUUUAAAUAGGAUUAUUUUAGUUUAAAUUAAAAAUGUGUUAUCCUUGC